rnacentral:rRNA from 1 species
AGAGCGCAGGGUGGAUGCCUUGGCACUAAGAGCCGAAGAAAGACGUGAUAAGCUGCGAAAAGCUGCGGGGAGAUGCAAAUAAUCUUUGAUCCGCAGAUGUCUGAAUGGGGAAACCCGGCUGGAAGGACUCCAGUCAUCCAUACGCCAAUCCAUAACGUAUGGAAGGGAACCCGGUGAACUGAAACAUCUAAGUAGCCGGAGGAAGAGAAAGAAACAUCGAUUUCCAGAGUAGCGGCGAGCGAAAUGGAAAGAGGCCAAACCGUUGUGCGUGCACAGCGGGGUUCGGACCGCAUAAUUGAUUCAGUGAUUCUAGCAGAAAGGUUUUGGGAAAGCCUGCCGGAGAGGGUGAAAGCCCCGUAAGCGAAAGGAAAACUGACAAGGCGGUAUCCAGAGUACAUCGAGACACGUGAAACCUUGAUGGAACACGCGGGGACCACCCCGUAAGCCUAAAUACUACUUAGUGACCGAUAGCGCAUAGUACUGUGAAGGAAAGGUGAAAAGGACCCCGGGAGGGGAGUGAAAGAGAACCUGAAACCCUGUGUUUACAAUCUGUGGAAGGUCUUUAUAUGAUCAACCGCGUACUUUUUGUAGAACGGUCCGGCGAGUUACGCGUACUGGCAAGGUUAAGUGCUUAAGGCACGGAGCCGAAGCGACAGCGAGUCUUAACUGGGCGAUGAGUCAGUACGAGUAGACCCGAAACCGGGUGAUCUAUCCAUGUCCAGGAUGAAGAUGCCGUAAAAGGCAUUGGAGGUCCGAAGCCACAUCCGUUGAAAAGGGUGGGCAUGAGGUGUGGAUAGGGGAGAAAUUCCAAUCGAACCCGGAGAUAGCUGGUUCUCCUCGAAAUAGCUUUAGGGCUAGCCUCGUUUUAGUCUUAUGGAGGUAGAGCACUGAAUUUCCGCGGGGGCGUCAAAGCUUACCAAAGAAUAUCAAACUCCGAAUGCCAUGUAGAUGAUGAACGGGAGUCAGACUGCACGAGAUAAGUUGGGCGGUCAAAAGGGAAAGAGCCCAGACCACCGGCUAAGGUCCCAAAGUGUGUGUUAAGUGGAAAAGGAUGUGGGAAUUCGAAGACAACUAGGAUGUUGGCUCAGAAGCAGCCAUACAUUCAAAGAGUGCGUAACAGCUCACUAGUCGAGAGUCCCUGCGCCGAAAAUGUCCGGGGCUGAAACACACCACCGAAGCCGUGGAAUUGCUUAGGCAAUUGGUAGAGGAGCAUUCUUAAGACCGACGAAGCUGUACCGGAAGGAGCAGUGGAGGGAUAAGAAGAGAGAAUGCCGGAAUGAGUAGCGAGAGGAAGGUGGGAAUCCUUCCGGCCGAAUAUCUAAGGUUUCCAGAGUAAAGCUGAUCUGCUCUGGGUAAGUCGGGGCCUAAGGAGAGGUCGCAAGACGUAUCCGAUGGACAACAGGUUUAGAUUCCUGUACCGCAUAUAAACAGAACUGUGGGGACGCAUGUGGAAAGCAUAAGCCGGGAAUGGAAAGACCGGUACAAGCGAGGUAGGUGUGUGACAGGCAAAUCCGUCACAUAAGCCGAAGACGUGAUGUGGAGCGAAAUUAAGUAGUGAAGUAUGUGAGCCAUGUGCCGAGAAAAGCCGCUAUUGUUUUAUAUGUGCCCGUACCGUAAACCGACACAGGUGGAUGAGGAGAGAAUCCUAAGGCCGACGGAAGAAGCAUUGUUAAGGAAUUCGGCAAAAUGACCCCGUAACUUCGGGAGAAGGGGUGCCCACUGAAUGGUGGGCCGCAGAGAAUAGGCUCAAGCAACUGUUUAGCAAAAACACAGGUCUAUGCGAAACCGAAAGGUGAGGUAUAUGGGCUGACGCCUGCCCGGUGCUGGAAGGUUAAGAGGAGAGGUUAGCGCAAGCGAAGCUUUGAAUUUAAGCCCCAGUAAACGGCGGCCGUAACUAUAACGGUCCUAAGGUAGCGAAAUUCCUUGUCGGGUAAGUUCCGACCCGCACGAAAGGCGUAAUGAUUUGAGCACUGUCUCGACAAUGCAUCCGGUGAAAUUGAAGUACCAGUGAAGAUGCUGGUUACCCGCGCCAGGACGGAAAGACCCCAUGGAGCUUUACUCCAGUUUGGUACUGGGAUUCGGUACUGCAUGUACAGGAUAGGUGGGAGACUAAGAACUUGGGACGCCAGUUUCAAGGGAGUCGCUGUUGGGAUACCACCCUUGCAGUAUUGGAUUUCUAACCAGCCGCCGUGAUCCGGCGGUGGGACAAUGCCAGGCGGGGAGUUUGACUGGGGCGGUCGCCUCCGAAAGGGUAUCGGAGGCGCUCAAAGGUUCCCUCAGAAUGGU